rnacentral:rRNA from 1 species
UACGGGAGGCAGCAGUGGGGAAUAUUGCACAAUGGGCGAAAGCCUGAUGCAGCUAUGCCGCGUGUAUGAAGAAGGCCUUAGGGUUGUAAAGUACUUUCAGUCGUGAGGAAGGUGUUAAGGUUAAUAACCUUAGCAAUUGACGUUAGCGACAGAAGAAGCACCGGCUAACUCCGUGCCAGCAGCCGCGGUAAUACGGAGGGUGCGAGCGUUAAUCGGAAUUACUGGGUCGUAAAGGGCACGCAGGCGGUUAAUUAAGUUGGAUGUGAAAUCCCCGGGCUUAACCUGGGAAUGGCAUUCAAGACUGGUUAGCUAGAGUCUUGUAGAGGGGGUAGAAUUCCAUGUGUAGCGGUGAAAUGCGUAGAGAUGUGGAGGAAUACCGGUGGCGAAGGCGGCCCCUGGACAAAGACUGACGCUCAUGUGCGAAAGCGUGGGGAGCAAACAGGGAUUAGAUACC